rnacentral:rRNA from 1 species
UACGUAGGGUGCAAGCGUUGUCCGGAUUUAUUGGGCGUAAAGAGCUCGUAGGCGGUUUGUUGCGUCGGCUGUGAAAUCCCGAGGCUCAACCUCGGGUCUGCAGUCGAUACGAGCAAACUAGAGUGUUGCAGGGGAGACUGGAAUUCCUGGUGUAGCGGUGAAAUGCGCAGAUAUCAGGAGGAACACCAGUGGCGAAGGCGGGUCUCUGGGCAGCAACUGACGCUGAGGAGCGAAAGCGUGGGGAGCGAACAGG